CCUGAGCAAGAGUUGCGGAUACAAUGUUGAUGACUUGUUUCUUGAUGAAGCUGCUGCUUUGUGAAUUGCGAUUGAUGUAGGCGUAGCCGCGUGGGAAGCACAGGCAACAGAAUGCAGUGUGUUCUUGCGCUGGCGCAAUUGUAAUUCCUAAGAUAGCCUUGAUCCCAAAAAAAAGAAAAAGAAAACGGAGGAUCAGGUGUCGUUGAUCAAGAAUCGAAGGCAUGCAGAUUGCAGUCUCCAAGACAAGCUAACCAUACCUCACCUGGACUUGCCUCAGUUGAGAGUUUUGGCCGACCUUGUCCAGCAACGUUAUCCCAGUUAAUACUGUUGUUUCUUCCCAUGCCUUGUCGUGGUUAGGAGAAAAGGUUGCCGGAGAUUUAGAAUUGCACGAUUUACUGCAUGAAUCCAUAUGCAUACACAAACUCUGCCCUGACUCCAUCUAUGUCCAAAUUUGAGCUUAUAGUUACUUUUCCAUCAACAAUCACCAUAGAUAUGCCUCUCCACUGUAGGGAGAUAGAUUACUAGCAAAAAUUAACAUUGAUAAAAAAACUAACAGACGUGGGGUUUUCACUUAGGCCCCACGCUCUAUGCACAAACAUUGUGUAUUUGCAAUGCUUUUGUUUUUUAAUAUCAAUUUUUCUCUCUGCAA